rnacentral:rRNA from 1 species
UUUGGCAGGGUGCAAUGUGGUGUUCGGGAGGGGUUAUUCGUGCCUAGAGCUCUGUGUCCAAGUCCCCCUGACUGGGGCCAUCGCCCAUUGAGGGUGCAAGGCCUGUUGGGCAGGGCUACGUCUCGGAUCUCGGUACGUUUUUCCCCUUCCUUGGAGUCGGGUUGCUUGAGAGUGCAACCCAAAGUGGGUGGUAAACUCCACCUAAGGCUAAAUACUUGCCACGAGACCGAUAACAAACAAGUACCGUGAGGGAAAGUUGCAAAGAACUUUGAAGAGAGAGUUCAAGAGUGCGUGAAACCGUUUGGAGGUAAACGGGUGGGACCUCGAAGGUCGAACGGAUGGGGAGGGAUUCAACUGGGCGCGGUGGCUCGUCGAGUCGAGUCCGCGAAGGGUACGUUACCGUCAGUCAUCUCUCGGGGUGGUUGGCAGGCCGUUGCCCCGCGGGUCUCCUUAAAGAGUCCGCUGUGCCUUGUGCAUUUCCCUACACCCCCUCUCCCAGUAGGACGCCGCGACCGGCUGUCGAGGGAAGCCCAAAAGCUGGUAGGAGCAGCUGCGCGGACGAGUAAGGGAUUUCGUUCUCUGCGUCCGGUCUGUCUGUCUCCUGCCGCCCGCGGGUCGCUUCCUCCGGCCGAGGAUGCUAGAGCGGAGAUCAUCUUUUUUAGGUGGACUUCGUUCAAGCGCGUGCCCACGAUAAACGUUGCGGGUCGAAAGAACCCAACGGGUGGCGGUGAAUGGCUGUGUGCCGGUCUUCUGAUCGCUGCGUACGGUCAUUUACUUAGCUGCUGUCGGCCAGGGUGCGGACUCCCGCUCUAUCAGGGCGCUAGGGGUCAGCGGCGAGUAGGUCGGUUUCCCACCCGACCCGUCUUGAAACACGGACCAAGAAGUCUAACGUGUGCGCGAGUCUUCGGGGUACCUCCGAACCCUUAGAAGGCGCAAUGAAAGUGAAGGUAUAGGUUUAUUUCCUUACCUGGGUGGGAUCCCCCGUCUUAUGGCGGAGGCGCACCACCGGCCCGUCCAA